GCGUGAGCCACCGCGCCCGGCCAAAAAUGUUUUAAAGAAAGAAAAAUUAUGCCAAGAUCUUUAAGCUCAGUGAACUGUGAGAUGAUGUCAUUUACAGAAAUAGGGAUCACAGGAGGAAGGCAUUAAAUGAAGAUGGAAAUUUCCAAUUUCUUUGUACUAAGUCUAAAAUGUUCACAGAAUAUUCUGAAGGCAUUGGCUGGAAAGCAGCUAUAUAACUAGAACUUGGAAGACAGGGUGUAGUACAGGUUGAGUAAACAGCCACAUGGGUGAUGGGUGAAGCCAGUGACUGUCCAAGGAGAAAGAGGACCAAACCAGACUUGGAGCUCUGGGGAAAGCCUGCCAUUAGACAGCCAGGAAUAGGGAGAAAAGAAAGGAAUCAGAGAUGGCAGGCAGCAAGAGGGAAGUCAGGGGGAAGAGGAGAGGAACUCUGAACUGAUUCAGGAGAGGGGCCACUGGAACAGCCACAUUGUCUUCGCAUCGUGGCUUUAUACUUUUUUGUUGUUGUUGUUGUUGUUUUGAGAUGGAGUCUUGCUCUUGUCAUCCAGGCUGGAGUGC
rnacentral:lncRNA from 10 species